UACGUAGGUGGCGAGCGUUGUCCGGAAUUAUUGGGCGUAAAGGGCGCGUAGGCGGUAUCCUAAGUCAGGUGUGAAAGCCCCCGGCUCAACUGGGGAGGGACAUCUGAUACUGGGAAACUAGAGUGCAGGAGAGGAAAGUGGAAUUCCGUGUGUAGCGGUGAAAUGCGUAGAUAUACGGAGGAACACCAGUGGCGAAGGCGGCUUUCUGGACUGCAACUGACGCUGAGGCGCGAAAGCUGGGGGAGCGAACGGG
rnacentral:rRNA from 1 species